CUCUUGGCAACAAACUCAUGACCUCCUUCCCUUUCUUUGCCUUCCGUUCCAGCCCCUCCUCUGCUGCCGGAAAUAGUGAAAUCCUCCCAGAUCAUCAGUGCUCCUAUAUCCAUGCGUCCCUCUGUGCCCCGUGAUUUGGCUGCAAGGUCCUGUCUCCAGCUGACCCUCAAGUUCUCUCCCCCUCUCCUGUCCAUGGCUGGCAACCCUGGGCUUUGGCUGAAGAUAGAACCAGUCAA
rnacentral:lncRNA from 1 species